rnacentral:rRNA from 1 species
AGGAUAAACGCUGGCGGCGUGCCUAACACAUGCAAGUCGAACGUCUCUUCUUUCGGGAAGAGGAGUGGCGGACGGGUGAGGAACACGUGGGAACCUGCCCUCCAGUGAGGAAUACCGGCGAGAAAUCGCCGACAAGACCGCAUAGCCCUCUCUGGUGAGAGCCAGAGAAGGAAAGCUUCGCAAGAGGCGCUGGAGGAGGGGCCUGCGUCCGAUUAGCUAGUUGGUGGGGUAAGAGCCUACCAAGGCGUCGAUCGGUAGCUGGUCUGAGAGGACGAUCAGCCACACUGGGAUUGAGAACGGCCCAGACUCCUACGGGGGGCAGCAGUGAGGAAUUUUCGGCAAUGGGGGAAACCCUGACCGAGCAACGCCGCGUGCAGGAAGACGGCCUUCGGGUUGUAAACUGCUUUUCUUUGGGACGAGCAGGGACGGUACCAGAGGAAUCAGCCCCGGCUCACUACGUGCCAGCAGCCGC